rnacentral:sRNA from 1 species
CCAGAACCAGCAUGGGUCGAGGAUAGCC